rnacentral:rRNA from 1 species
GCUGCAGUAGGGAAUCUUCGGCAAUGGACGAAAGUCUGACCGAGCAACGCCGCGUGAGUGAAGAAGGUUUUCGGAUCGUAAAACUCUGUUGUUAGAGAAGAACAAGGAUGAGAGUAACUGUUCAUCCCUUGACGGUAUCUAACCAGAAAGCCACGGCUAACUACGUGCCAGCAGCCGCGGUAAUACGUAGGUGGCAAGCGUUGUCCGGAUUUAUUGGGCGUAAAGCGAGCGCAGGCGGUUUUUUAAGUCUGAUGUGAAAGCCCCCGGCUCAACCGGGGAGGGUCAUUGGAAACUGGGAGACUUGAGUGCAGAAGAGGAGAGUGGAAUUCCAUGUGUAGCGGUGAAAUGCGUAGAUAUAUGGAGGAACACCAGUGGGGAAGGCGGCUCUCUGGUCUGUAACUGACGCUGAGGCUCGAAAGCGUGGGGAGCAAACAGGAUUAGAUACCCUGGUAGUCCACGCCGUAAACGAUGAGUGCUAAGUGUUGGAGGGUUUCCGCCCUUCAGUGCUGCAGCUAACGCAUAAGCACUCCGCCUGGGGGAACCCCCCACG